UACAGAGGUCUCAAGCGUUGUUCGGAUUCAUUGGGCGUAAAGGGUGCGUAGGCGGCGCGGUAAGUCGGGUGUGAAAUCUCGGAGCUUAACUCUGAAACUGCAUUCGAUACUGCCGUGCUUGAGGACUGGAGAGGAGACUGGAAUUUACGGUGUAGCGGUGAAAUGCGUAGAUAUCGUAAGGAAGACCAGUGGCGAAGGCGGGUCUCUGGACAGUUCCUGACGCUGAGGCACGAAGGUCAGGGGAGCAAACAGG
rnacentral:rRNA from 1 species